rnacentral:rRNA from 1 species
CCUACGGGGGGCAGCAGUGGGGAAUAUUGGACAAUGGGCGAAAGCCUGAUCCAGCCAUGCCGCGUGUGUGAAGAAGGCCUUCGUGUUGUAAAGCACUUUCAGUGGGGAAGAAAGCCUUGGGGCUAAUACCCUCGAGGAAGGACAUCACCCACAGAAGAAGCACCGGCUAACUCCGUGCCAGCAGCCGCGGUAAUACGGAGGGUGCGAGCGUUAAUCGGAAUUACUGGGCGUAAAGCGCGCGUAGGCGGUCUGAUAAGCCGGUUGUGAAAGCCCCGGGCUCAACCUGGGAACGGCAUCCGGAACUGUCAGGCUAGAGUGCAGGAGAGGAAGGUAGAAUUCCCGGUGUAGCGGUGAAAUGCGUAGAGAUCGGGAGGAAUACCAGUGGCGAAGGCGGCCUUCUGGACUGACACUGACGCUGAGGUGCGAAAGCGUGGGUAGCAAACAGGAUUAGAUACCCUGGUAGUC